rnacentral:rRNA from 1 species
GUCGGGAGUCUUGCACAAUGGGGGAAACCCUGAUGCAGCGACGUCGCGUGUGGGAUGAAGUAUUUCGGUAUGUAAACCACUUUUGCGGGGGGCGAAAAAAAUGACGGUACCCCGCGAAUAAGCCCCGGCUAACUACGUGCCAGCAGCCGCGGUAAUACGUAGGGGGCGAGCGUUGCUCGGAUUGACUGGGCGUAAAGCGCGCGUAGGCGGUCCAUUAAGUGUGCGGUGAAAUUCAGAGGCUCAACCUCUGUCCCGCCGCGCAAACUGGUGGUCUUGAGAUUGGGAGGGGGAUGCGGAAUUCCUGGUGUAGCGGUGAAAUGCAUUGAUAUCAGGAGGAACACCGGCGGCGAAAGCGGCAUCCUGGCUUAUAUCUGACGCUGAGGCGCGAAAGCGUGGGUAGCAAACGGGAUUAGAAACCCGAGUAGUCC